rnacentral:rRNA from 1 species
UACAGAGGGGGCAAGCGUUGUUCGGAAUUACCGGGCGUAAAGGGCGCGUAGGUGGCCUUCUAAGUUGAACGUGAAAUCCCUGGGCUCAACCCAGGAACUGCGUCCAAGACUGGGAGGCUUGAAUCCGGGAGAGGGAUGCGGAAUUCCAGGUGUAGCGGUGAAAUGCGUAGAUAUCUGGAGGAACACCGGUGGCGAAGGCGGCAUCCUGGACCGGUAUUGACACUGAGGCGCGAAAGCCAGGGGAGCAAACGGG